CUUCCUUCCUUAUAUUCUGGCUCCAUUACUAGACUUUAUAUCUUCAGGGAUCCUAGUCGGAUUCCUUUCCACUGUGCCACAAAGGGAACUCCCAGGGGGGAUCAUUCUUAGUCCGGGGGCUGGCUGGCUGUGGGCUGCGGAGGUGCCGUACCCAGGCUGCACCCCUUUUCUCCUCCGUGCGCUAGCCCAGGGGUUCAUAUCUUCACAGGCUAAGUGCUAAGGGCAAGACAAGAAGCACACAGCAGAGCACUUGGUGAAACCUGUCUGUGCACGUUUGCUAGCAUCUCAUUGGUCAAAGUAAGUCACAUGACUGAACUCAGCCCCGCAUUGCCGGAAGUAUAGCUUAUCUCUUGAUGGAAGGAACGGCGGAGGCACUUUGCAAAAAACGUGCAGACCGGGAGGGAUGGAUAAAUUGGGACCAUUAAGGUGAGUAAUGUAUCACCUCUAGAGUUUCUUAUUAUUACUCUUCUUUGAAACGUUUUACUGGCUCUUUCUGCAAACAUAUUCCUAUUUAUUUAUGUAUUUAUUUAUUUUGCUUUUUAGGGCUGCACCGGGCAUAUGGAGGUUCCCGGGCUAAGGGUUGAAUCCGAGCGGCCAACAUCACAGCCAUAGCAACGCCAGAUCUGAGCCACGUCUGUGACCUACACUACAGCUCAUCUCCACGCUGGAUCCUUAACCCACUGAGCGAGGCUGGGGAUGGAAGCCGCGUACUCAUGGAUACUAAGUUGUGUUAGCUACAGCUGAGCCGGGAUGGGAACUCCAGCUUUCUGGCAUUUAUUUUUCUGAAUAUUUUCUAUUCGAGAUCAGUUGAAUAUGUGGGUGUGGAACCCCGUGGAUAUUGGGUUCUGACUGGAACUAUUUUUCAGGCAGCAAGUAAGGCCAGCUCUUUACGAGAAUGCAAGCUUAAGCUCUGCAAGGCCAAGGAUUGUCCCUUGUUGAUGUUUUAUCCCUCGUCAGCUCCAACCUGUGGCCAAGUUCCUGGUAAGUGCUAAGUGCUUUUUGGU
rnacentral:lncRNA from 1 species